GACGAACGCUGGCGGCGUGCUUAACACAUGCAAGUCGAGCGAACGGACGAGGCGUUUGUGGGUUGCUCGAUAGGGGAAGAGGGGAGUGAAACGCGUGGAACAUCUCCUUAUCUGUCUGGUAACUUCAGGGAACUGGGGCGAUUACAGGAGAGGAGCUCCUGCUCCAUAUGGGGCAUUGGAAAAAGUCGGCGGUUGGGGAUGGACUCGAGGCUUAUCAGCUGGAUGGUGGGGUAGGGGCGUACAAAGGCUUUGAAGGGUAGCCGGCAUGAGAGGGUGACCGGCCACAUUGCGACUGAGAUACGGCCCAGACUCCUACGGGAGGCAGUAGUGGGGAAUAUUGCACAAUGGGCGGAAGCCUGAUGCAGCAACGCCGCGUGCGGGAUGACGGCCUUCGGGUUGUAAACCGCUUUCGCCUGUGACGAAGCGUGAGUGACGGUAAUGGGUAAAGAAGCACCGGCUAACUACGUG
rnacentral:rRNA from 1 species